rnacentral:rRNA from 1 species
AUGAACGCUAGCGGCAGGCUUAAUACAUGCAAGUUGAGGGGCAGCAUGAUAUACGCGAGUAUAUUGGAUGGCGACCGGCGGACGGGUGAGUAAUAGGUAGGAGACCUACCUCAUACAGGGGGAUAGCAUAGAGAAAUCUGUGGUAAUACCCCAUGAGGUUAUAUGAAUAGAGGCAUAUAAUCAAAGCAUAAGCGAUUAUGCGGUAUGAGAGGGGCCUACUGACCAUUAGCUAGUUGGUGAGGUAAGGGCUCACCAAGGCGAAGAUGGUUAGGGGUUUUGAGAGAGAGACCCCCCCACAUUGGAACUGAGAGACGGUCCAGACUCCUACGGGAGGCAGCAGUAGGGAAUAUUGGGCAAUGGGCGAAAGCCUGACCCAGCCAUGCCGCGUGAAGGAAGACGGCCUUAUGGGUUGUAAACUUCUUUACUACGCGAAUAGAGGUUAGUACGAGAUACUAAUAGGAAGGUAGUGUAGUAAAAAGCACCGGCUAACUCCGUG